rnacentral:misc_RNA from 1 species
AAAAAAUGUUCAUUGGAACAAAUGUAAAUAGGAACAAAAGUAAAAUUUGGAAAUUAAUAUCAUUGGAAUAAGUUUGUUGACUAGGAACACGGCCGUGACUAGGAACAAAAAAUUGUCGAACAAAAGUGAUAUAAACCGUUUUUUUUAGUGUCUGGUCUACCAGCAUUCAGCACUGACUCGCCACUCAGAAGUCAGAAGCCUGUCUAUUCGUUUUUGCUUCUCUGGUAUCAAUAAUGCUAAUGCUAAAGCCAAGCACCAAGCUAAUAGCCUGAAUAAAGCCUACCAUAUUGUAACUGUUGUGACUUAUAAUUGACCGUAAUUACAUUUUAAGUAAAUUACUUUNUGUUUCGUUUUUUCUUACUUGUUGUUACUUGUUAAUGUNCAGUGUUAAGUUUAACUAUUAGGUUGCUGUUGAGAAUAUUGUACUGCCAUAAUUACGUCGCAGUACGUAAUUUGCGUUUGAAUUUAAUUCUCAGUUUACGAAGAUACGACAAACUACUCUACUCGACAUUAUGGCUCUUGAGAAUGCAAUGUUAGAAUUAUUAGACAUAGGUUAUUCACCAUCAAACGUCAGAAAAGUUUGCCGAGAGAUUGCCAAAUAUAAGAGUCGACACGAAAAAACUGGUACUACAAUGAAUAGUACCAGUUCAAAAUAAAACUAAUACAGU